GUCACCUGAAGUUCUUGCUUUGGCAUCAAGAGUGGGAGAAGCUAAUCGAACAGGUGGGAGUAGCAGACCAACAGAUCAAAAAAAGUUGUGAUUAACAGAUAGUAUGAAAACUGGAUUGAAUAGAUUAGUGGUUCUUGGAGGUGUAUGGUAUGUGGUCAUUCAGUGUCGUGUAUUAUCAGAUGUUGGCUUUAGGAAGUGUGUGAUAUGAGGGGUGGUUUUAAUUCCUAAAACUUGUAUUGUAUGUGUGGAUUAGUUAGUGUAAUACAUUAGUUUUGCUCUGUUCAUGCUAGGCGGUGCAUUUAUUCUUUGUGCUUAAACAAUGUGGGCAAGAGUCCCAUAUAAUAUAUAUAGUACGUUGUAACAGUUGUUAUUUU
rnacentral:misc_RNA from 1 species